rnacentral:lncRNA from 1 species
AUGUCACCCUCGUGUCACCCUCGUGUCCCCAAAUUCCGAUGUCCCCCGUGUCACCCGCGUGUCCCGUGUUUGUUUUUGUGUCCCUCCUGUCCCCUCCCUGUCCCCGGCGGUGCCACCCCCGCGCCCUCCCCUCUGUCCCCUCCCUGUGUCCCCUCCCUGUCCCCUCCUCUCCUCCCUGUCCCCACGCCCCUGUCCCUCCCUGUCCCCAGAUUCCGAUGUCACCCGCGUGUCCCCAAAUUCCGAUGUGGCUCCGUGUCACCCGCGUGUCCCGUGUUUGUGUCCCCUCUUCUGUCCCCUCCCCUGUCCCCGCCUGUCCCCGGCGGUGCCACCCCCGCGCCCUCCCCUCUGUCCCCUCUCUGUGUCCCCUCCCUGUCCCCACGCCCCUGUCCCUCCCUGUCCCCAAAUUCCGAUGUCCCUUCGUGUCACCCCCGUGUCACCCCCGUGUCCCGUGUUUGUGUCCUGUCCCCUCCCUGUCCCCAGCGGUGCCACCUCUGUCCCCUCCUCUCCUCCCUGUCCCCUCCCUGUCCCCAAAUUCCGAUUCACCCCCGUGUCACCCUCGUGUCCCGUGUUUGUUUGUGUCCCUCCUGUCCCCUCCCUGUCCCUCCCCUGUCCCCGGCGGUGCCACCCCCGCUCCCUCCCCUCUGUCCCGCUGUCCCCUCUCUCUGUCCCCUCUGUCCCCUCUCUGUCCCCGAUGUCGCCUCCCGCCGCGUCCCGCGGUCCUUUGGCCGCUUUGGCCGCCGCCACGUCGUGUCCGCGCUGCGGGGCCGCGCUGCGGGACCCGGUGCUGCUGCCGUGCGAGCACCGCUGCUGCCGCCGCUGCCUGCUGCCCCCAAUGUCCCCCAUGUCCCCAAUGUCCCCCGGGCUGUCCCCGGUGUCCCCCGGGCCCCCCCCGGGCUGGCCCCGCUGUCCCCAGUGUCGCCGUCCCUGCGCCCCGGGCCGCGUCCGCACCGCGGUGGCGCUGGCGGUGGAGGCGCGGAUCGCGCGGCGGCUGGCGGGGGACAGCGGGGACACGGGAGGGGACAGCGGGGACAGGACAGGGGACAGCGCCGGGGACAGCACCGGGACACCGCGGGGACGCCGCAGGACCGGCAGGACCAGGUGAGAUUUGGGGUUUUUUGGGUUUUAUUGGGAUUUUUUGGCGGUUUCUGGGGGAGAUUUGGGGUUUUGGGGACAUGGGGACAGCGGGGACAGCACCGGGGACAGCGCCGGGACACCGCAGGACCGGCAGGACCAGCCUCGGGGCCCAACUGCGAGCGGACGCCGCCCCUCCCCCACCCACGCGGGACCCCCCAAAAUAAACCCAAAAAACCUCAAAUAAACCCCAAAAAACCCCAAAAGCGUCACCGGUGUCAUUUAAUGUCCCGGGGGGGGGGAGGGGCAGGUGGGGUUUUUUGGGGGGUCCAGGUGAGAUUUUGGGGCGUUUCGGUGACAUUUUUGGGGUUUUGUGACAUUUUUGGGGGGUCCAGGUGA